rnacentral:rRNA from 1 species
UACGGUCAAUCACGCUGAAAACGCCGGUUCUCGUUCGAUCACCGAAGUUAAGCAUCGUAGAGCCAGGUCAGUACUUAGAUGGGGGACCGCUUGGGAACACCUGGUACUGUAAG